rnacentral:rRNA from 1 species
AUUGAACGCUGGCGGCAGGCCUAACACAUGCAAGUCCAGCGGAUGAGAGGAGCUUGCUUCUCGAUUCAGCGGCGGACGGGUGAGUAAUGCCUCGGAAUCUGCCUGGUAGUGGGGGACAACGGUUCGAAAGGAACGCUAAUACCGCAUACGUCCUCCGGGAGAGAGGAGGGGGCCUUCGGGCCUUGCGCUAUCAGAUGACCCUAGGUCGGAUUAGCUAGUUGGUGAGGUAAUGGCUCACCAAGGCGACGAUCCGUAACUGGUCUGAGAGGAUGAUCAGCCACACUGGAACGGAGACACGGUCCAGACUCCUACGGGAGGCAGCAGUGGGGAAUAUUGGACAAUGGGCGAAAGCCUGAUCCAGCCAUGCCGCGUGUGUGAAGAAUGUCUUCGGAUUGUAAAGCACUUUAAGUUGGGAGGAAGGGUUGUAGAUUAAUACUCUGCAAUUUUGACGUUACCGACAGAAUAAGCACCGGCUAACUCUGUGCCAGCCGCCGCGGUAAUAC